rnacentral:rRNA from 1 species
UACGGAGGGGGCAAACGUUGUUCGGAUUUAUUGGGUGUAAAGGGUGUGUAGGCGGGCUUGUAAGUCGGAUGUGAAAUACUUUGGCUUAACCAAAGAACUGCAUUCGAAACUGCUUGUCUUGAGUUUGGGAGAGGAGAAUGGAAUUCUCGGUGUAAGGGUGAAAUCUGUAGAUAUCGAGAGGAACACCAGUGGCGAAAGCGGUUCUCUGGACCAAAACUGACGCUGAAACACGAAAGCUAGGGGAGCAAACAGG